rnacentral:rRNA from 1 species
AAUCCUUAAAGCCUGUCUCAGUUCGGACUGGGGUCUGCAACCCGACCCCACGAAGCUGGAUUCGCUAGUAAUCGCGCAUCAGCCAUGGCGCGGUGAAUACGUUCCCGGGCCUUGUACACACCGCCCGUCAAGCCAUGAAAGCCGGGGGCGCCUAAAGUCCGUGACCGUAAGGAGCGGCCUAGGGCGAAACUGGUAAUUGGGGCUAAGUCGUAACAAGGUAGCCGUACCGGAAGGUGCGGCUGGAACACCUCCUUU